CAAAAAUUUUGGCAAAAAAGAAAAAAAAAGAAAAGGCGCGAGAUGUGACGACCCUGGUCUAGCAAUAUACCAAUCACACAGCGACAGCUGUCCGUCUGUUCAUAUAAAUUCGUUCUUUCUUUUCUUACUUGAUUUCCCCUCCGGUCUGAAAUUUCGAAUUUCGUUGCUGCCAUGGACCCAAACCAAGGCGGAAAGAAGAAACGGAAAAGAAAGAGAAAUAGCCUGAAAGAAAUGGCGGGGGCUCUGGCUGUACCAUGCGAGCAGUGGCGGAGCGCCAUUAGAAUUUAGAGAGAGAGAGAGAGCAGUGGGAGGUCCACUUCCUCCUCCGGCUACCUCCACUCCACCACGUGUCCCGAUCUCGUGCCUCUGGAUCCAAGUACAGAAAGCGAUGGCCAUUUGAAAGAUGGAUCUCGAUUCUCUUCCAACUCAGACGUCGUCCUCACCGUCUGUUUCACUGGCAAGAUUCUGGUGAGUCUACGCUGCCUGUCUCGAUUACCUUCUCGUCUUGUUGAUUUAUUUUGCUAUGUGAAAUUGUCUUUCAACUGUUUAUUUGCGUUUCGUUGCUGUUGCUGAGAAAAUCAAGGGAAAGCGAAUUGAACUAGUUGUACGAUUGAAAUUCUAGUAUCUUUCAUAGCACGUCUCCCCGUGACUAAAUUCUAGUGCUGAGAAUUUUUCUGAAUUUGUUUUUUUGUGUGAAGAAUUUAUUUGAAUUUGAAUGGCGUGAGCAAUGAAUGAUAUAAUGAAGAGAAUUUGUUACUUGUGUCAAAUGUUUCGAUCCUUCUGGAAAUAUCCUUUGAUUCAAUUUUCUAUAUUAAUUUAUCACAAGAUUUUACGAUCGAUUUCGGGAAAAAACUGUACGGAGGGAGUUGUCUUUUUACAUUUCCUGGUUAUUGGAAGCAUUGCAUUAUUUAACGAUCUGACUGAUAAUCACAAUUUGUUAUUGAAAAGGUAGUGAGGAAUUUUGAGAAUUGACAAGUACAAUGAUGAAGAAAAUGAAAACUUGAGGCCUACAUAACUCAAUUGACAAGUAUUUACAUCAGUAGCUUACAGUAACUCUUUUUUGGAUGAAAUUCUUAGAUAGGUCUAUAAUUGUUUUUUUAGUACUUUUGGGAGUUAUCUAAUUGUUGUGAUUACAAGUAGGGAAAAGAAUAAAAAAAUUUAUAUAUUUACAACAAGUGAAAGCGAUUCGUUUACCUAAAUAUCUCAAACAGUAGUUUCUGUAACACAUACACGAUCGCUAAUUGAUACCAAAUAUAGUGUUUCUUAUGUAGUUUAGUAUCUCCAGAUGUGAAGUACAUAUCUGCCACUCCUGGUUCCGCUGUGAAGGACAUUUGUGGUGUUGCUGGCAGAGCUGGUGAAGGAGGAAAUGGUAGGAGCGGAGCUAGGGGUGUAAAUGGCAUAGGAGGAGCUUGCAGAGGCCUAGUUGGCAGAGGCAGAUCUGGUGGAGGCGUAGUUGCCGGCAUAGGCGAAGAUGGCGAAGGUAGAGGCACAGAGAGAGAGAGAGAGGCGGAGAUGGCGGAGGCGUAACUGGCAAGGGCGGAGUUGGCAAAAUCAGAGCUAUUGGAGGUGUAGUCGGCACAGGCGGAGAUGGCGGAGGCGUAACGGGCAAAGGCGGAGCUGAUGGAGGCGUAGCUGACAGAGAAGUAGUUGGUUUGUCCCCUGACUUGAGGCAAGGUACAUUGGGCACAGUAGUGCCAAGGGAAGUUCCAAUAGCAUUAUUGCAGGAGGCAUAAAUCUUCUUGCCAAGAACCGCAGAAGUGAUUUUGAUGCAGUCCAUUAUAAUGUUGUGGCAACCUGAAUUCUGGUCACAAUCUAACUAGAUCGCCUCCUCACUCACAGAAGUUCCUUCAAAAUCAAUGUACUUCACAUAAUCCACCGACAAAGUCGAGGGCUGACUUUUGCAGUCGUGAUCACGGUCACAAUAAAACUGGUCAAUGAUGAUAGGAUUUUUAGCUGCAUCGAGUGUGAUCUUUUCAAAAGUUAUGUUCCUAGCAUACCCCGAUCCGCCCUGCCAUGUCUUGAUUCUAGCUCCAUUUGUAGUCCCACUGAAACUACAAUCUUUCACGUACACAUUGUUCACUUUCUCAAGCGCCCCAUUUGCUCCCAAGCUUCCCACACUUUUUGCAAAAUAAAAUUUUAAGUUAAUAUGAUAUUUUAAGCGAAACUUUUUCAAUAAGGAUUUGUGUUAAGGACUACGUACCUUAUAC
rnacentral:lncRNA from 1 species